GUCCACGCCGUAAACGAUGGGUACUAGGUGUUGGGGUAUUGACCCCUCCAGUGCCGCAGUUAACGCACUAAGUACCCCGCCUGGGAAGUACGGCCGCAAGGCUAAAACUCAAAGGAAUUGACGGGGGCCCGCACAAGCGGUGGAGCAUGUGGUUUAAUUCGACGCAACGCGAAGAACCUUACCUGGGCUUGACAUCCCGGGAACCCCCUGGAAACAGGGGGUGCCCGCAAGGGAACCCGGAGACAGGUGCUGCAUGGCUGUCGU
rnacentral:rRNA from 1 species